rnacentral:lncRNA from 12 species
GGCUAGACAGGUCAGGCAAGAGAGGCCAAGCCCGGCUUUGGUCCGGCGCCUGAAGAGCUGCAAGCAGGCGAGUCCUACGCAGAGUGGCUGAGCGUCUGGACAGUGAGGAUACUUUGCUCCUUGCAGUCAGAAGCAUCCUCCAAGGGUGUCCUGCCACCUCCCUACUCUUGCUCUGAGGUUUCCUGCUUCUCAUCCUUGUCCUGAUGUGAUCUCUGGAACACACAAGUAUACUGCCAAGAAAAAUGAUAAAAGGCUGAUCUUUUCUCAAUUCCCCCAAAAUGCCAUGCUCCCAUGUGACCUGCCAAGGUACAGGAGGGCCCAAAAUCAAAUCCCCUUUGGAGCUCACCAAGGGGAGGAGUUUGGGAGGGGUGUCCUGACCAAGUCAGUGAGGCUUCAAGGCAAGCAAGAAGAAAUGGCAGGGACAGAUGGGCUGGUGACACUAUGAAGCUGCCUCGGAGGUUAUGCCUAGUUCCUUGAAGGAUCUGUAGGGCACCAGAGCUGCCCCUUGAACCUCAGCAAGAACCCUGAGAGAUAAUCGGCAAUUGCUAUUCAUGAUGGCUGUCGAGGGAUGGUGGAAGUGGCUGCAGGGGGCCAGCACUGUGGCAGGGAAAAAUAAGCAGGCCUGCAGCCUUUGCCUCAAUGAAUGCUACUCUGCAGGGCCCCACUGAGGCACUGGAGUGGGUUCCAUGGAGGACUAACUGAGAAGGCCCUGCUGAGUGGGACCCUGUAGCUCAAAUGUCCCCAGCUCUCUACGUUCCUCUCUUGUGAUUCUUCCUGACAUCUGUGCAGUAGAGAAGGAACUUGUUUCCCUGCUUUGUUCAUUCCUCACGGUGGAGAGAAUAUCGCUUUCUCUCACUGGGAGACCAAGACAGAGUGAAGGCCCCAACUCUGGAGCUGACUCAAAUGUAAAAAACCAAGAUGCAAUCUAGGCUUCAGAAGGAAAGCAGCAGAGAAAAGAUGUUUACCCCUGCAUUCAUCAGCAGGUGGCCACCAAUGAGGUAAAGGUAAAUCACCAACUGGCUACUUUUGUCAAGAAGUGAGGCUCUUCAG